rnacentral:rRNA from 1 species
AUUGAACGCUGGCGGCAGGCCUAACACAUGCAAGUCGAACGAGUGGCGGACGGGUGAGUAAUGUCUGGGAACCUGCCUGAUGGAGGGGGAUAACUCCUGGAAACGGUAGCUAAUACCGCAUACCAUCAGAUGUGCCCAGAUGGGAUUAGCGUGUUGGUGGGGUAACGGCUCAACAAGGCGACGAUCCCUAGCUGGUCUGAGAGGAUGAACAGCAACACUGUAACUGGGACACGGGCCAGACUCCGACGGGAGGCAGCAGUGGGGAAUAGUGCACAAUGGGCGAAAGCCUGAUGCAGCCAUGCCGCGUGUAUGAAGAAGUCCGUCGGGUUGUAAAGUACUUUCAGCGGGGAGGGGUUACCAGCAGAAGAAGCACCGGCUAACUCCGUGGCAGCAGCGGCGGUAAUUC